rnacentral:rRNA from 1 species
CAAUCCCUGAGUAAACGUGGCGACCGGGUGAGUAACACGUGACUAACCUGCCUUCGAGUGGGGGAUAACCUCGGGAAACCGGGGCUAAUACCGCAUAAUGCCUUCGGGUUAAAGGAGCAAUUCGCUUGAAGAGGGGGUCGCGGCUGAUUAGCUAGUUGGCGGGGUAACGGCCCACCAAGGCGAUGAUCGGUAGCCGGCCUGAGAGGGCGCACGGCCACACUGGAACUGAAACACGGUCCAGACUCCUACGGGAGGCAGCAGUGGGGAAUUUUGCGCAAUGGGGGAAACCCUGACGCAGCAACGCCGCGUGGAGGAUGAAGUCCCUUGGGACGUAAACUCCUUUCGACCGGGACGAUAAUGACGGUACCGGUGGAAGAAGCCCCGGCUAACUUCGUGCCAGCAGCCGCGGUAAUACGAGGGGGGCGA